rnacentral:lncRNA from 12 species
AUGACAUGUGCCCUUGAAUUCUCUGGUGAUGACAGAGAACUGCAAAAGCCAGGAUGGAUGCAGAUCCUGGAAAAGAGGAGGGAAUCCCAGGAGGAUAGAGAGAGCCCAGAUCAAACCUCAAUGGGAUUUUCUAAGACAGCCCGACUUUUCUUCACUGCGACCCUGAUCUCAAGUCUACUGUGGGGGGACAGAGGCCCACGCCCAGGGGAGAAGACUGCUGCGGCCAGUAAAACUGAGCACCGGGUGCAAUGGAGUAAGGAAGGAGGGGAAAGAACUGAAGGGGCUUUUUGGACAGUCCAAAGGAUCGGACAAGCCCCUCAGUGUUUUUUUUUUUUUUUCCCUGUAGUGACCCCAUUCUGCCCCAUGGAUGUCACUUUUCUCUCUUUCUCUCCCUCCCUCGCUCUCUCCCCUUCUUUUUUGGAGGUUUUGGGGAGGGGAAGCAAGCUGAGGGAGGUGGGAAGAGACUUUUUUUCACAUGAGUCCUCAGAAUUACAGUUCACAAACUAUUCAGUAAACUGACCGGCCUCAACCUCCCCUUCAACGGCCUAAUCUAAGGGGUGGAUCUAUGUGUUUUGUUGCUUGUCAGAAACAAUCGCUGAGCGGCCCAUUACAUUUACAGCACGUCGCCCUUUAAUUGGUGUAACACGCUGAGGCCUGAAAGGAGGAGAGGCCCACAAAAGCGCCCGUGAAUGAGCCUUGACUCACACAAAAACACUCUGCAGAAGUUCAGAGCUGGCCACUAACAAGGAGGUAGGGAGUUAGUUUGAAAAGGGGGUGAAGUUCAGAAAUGUGUCACCUUGAGGAGCCUCCCAUCAAAGCAAUGGUCGCAUUGACAAGCUGCAAAGAAAAAAAGUUAAACCUUCAGGGCUGUGGACUUGCCUGCUGGAUUUAUUCUUUUUAAACUUGAGGAGGGGGGUAGGAGAGGGGAGGGAGUCUUUCUUCUUCUCUUCCCUACCCUUGUCUCUCUGCUCCCUUAUUUACUUCAGAGAGCCUUAAAGAAGUCGGUCUGAAAAAAAAAAAAAAAAACAUACCUCCCACCCCCCUGCUAAGAUACACUAUUAAAAAAAAUAAAUGUAUAAAAAGUCAGGCUGAAUGCGGCCGC